GAUGAACGCUGGCGGCGUGCCUAAUACAUGCAAGUCGAGCGAACAGACGAGGCGCUUGCUCCUCUGACGUUAGCGGCGGACGGGUGAGUAACACGUGGAUAACCUACCUAUAAGACUGGGAUAACUUCGGGAAACCGGAGCUAAUACCGGAUAAUAUAUUGAACCGCAUGGUUCAAUAGUGAAAGACGGUUUUGCUGUCACUUAUAGAUGGAUCCGCGCCGCAUUAGCUAGUUGGUAAGGUAACGGCUUACCAAGGCAACGAUGCGUAGCCGACCUGAGAGGGUGAUCGGCCACACUGGAACUGAGACACGGUCCAGACUCCUACGGGAGGCAGCAGUAGGGAAUCUUCCGCAAAGGGCGAAAGCCUGACGGAGCAACGCCGCGUGAGUGAUGAAGGUCUUCGGAUCGUAAAACUCUGUUAUUAGGGAAGAACAAAUGUGUAAGUAACUAUGCACGUCUUGACGGUACCUAAUCAGAAAGCCACGGCUAACUACGUG
rnacentral:rRNA from 1 species